rnacentral:tRNA from 1 species
CGGGAUGUGGCGCAGCUUGGUUAGCGCGCCUGCUUUGGGAGCAGGAGGCCGCCGGUUCGAAUCCGGCCAUCCCGACCA